rnacentral:rRNA from 1 species
UACGUAGGGCGCAAGCGUUAUCCGGAAUUACUGGGCGUAAAGGGCGCGUAGGCGGCUUAUCAAGUCAGGCGUGAAAUUCCCGGGCUCAACCUGGGGGCUGCGCUUGAUACUGAUGAGCUUGAAUGCGGGAGAGGAUAGUGGAAUUCCCAGUGUAGAGGUGAAAUUCGUAGAUAUUGGGAAGAACACCGGUGGCGAAGGCGGCUAUCUGGCCCGUAAUUGACGCUGAGGCGCGAAAGCGUGGGGAGCAAACAGG